CAACAUGUGUGGUCUGAGGUUCGCCCCCAUGGUCAUAUAGCCUUGCUAGACCAAAAUCACCUAGAUGUCCAUUCAUUUCAUCAUCAAGGAGCACAUUGCUUGGCUUGAUGUCCCGAUGGAGCACUACCUUCUCCCAUUCCUCAUGGAGGUAAAGCAAGCCAGAUGCUAUUCCUUUGAUUAUUCGCAUUCUUUGAUCCCAAUUCAAAGUAGGCUUGUUCUCUUGAUCAUACAAGUACCUGUCAAGACUUCCACCUGACAUGUAUUCAUACACUAGAAUAAGUUCACCUUUUCGAUGACAAUAGCCAUGUAACUGCACAAGAUUACGGUGUUGGAGGUGACCAAUGCUUACAACCUCGGCAACAAAUUCCUUCAUGCCCUGCUUAGAAUUUUGGGAGAUUUUCUUCACAGCAACCAUCACCUUAGAUUUUGGAAGAACUCCCUUGUAUACCCUUCCAAAUCCUCCUAUGCCUAGUAGAUUCUUGUUCUUAAAUCCUUCAGUAGCAUGAAACAAGUCCUUAUAUGAAAAUCUGUGUGGUCCAAACUCAACUUCCCAAUCUUCUCGUAUUUCAGCAUACCUUAGUCGCCUUCGAACCAGAAUAAUGACAAUGGUGCCUACAAUAAUAACAACUGCUGCAGUGGUUAUUGGAAGUAUGAUUUCCAAAACUUUGGAUUGAGGAUUGGGCCCUUCAUGGGGUAGCUUUGGUAGCUUGGUGAU
rnacentral:lncRNA from 1 species